CCUACGGGGGGCAGCAGUGGGGAAUAUUGGACAAUGGGGGGAACCCUGAUCCAGCCAUGCCGCGUGUGUGAAGAAGGCCCUCGGGUUGUAAAGCACUUUCAGUGAGGAAGAACGCCUGGUGGUUAAUACCCAUCAGGAAAGACAUCACUCACAGAAGAAGCACCGGCUAACUCCGUGCCAGCAGCCGCGGUAAUACGGAGGGUGCGAGCGUUAAUCGGAAUUACUGGGCGUAAAGCGCGCGUAGGUGGCUUGAUAAGCCGGUUGUGAAAGCCCCGGGCUCAACCUGGGAACGGCAUCCGGAACUGUCAAGCUAGAGUGGAGGAGAGGAAGGUAGAAUUCCCGGUGUAGCGGUGAAAUGCGUAGAGAUCGGGAGGAAUACCAGUGGCGAAGGCGGCCUUCUGGACUGAUACUGACACUGUGGUGUGAAAGCGUGGGUAGCAAACAGGAUUAGAUACCCUAGUAGGA
rnacentral:rRNA from 1 species